UGGUAAACAUGUGAUGAUGAGGGAUAACAACAACCAAAAAAUAAUGAAUGUAAAGAAGAAUGAGAGAGGUUGUAUACCACACACAUUAUCCUAAAAAAAUAGGAAAAACACAAUAAAAAGGCUUAAAACAAAAAAAAAAAAGAUUAUAGAAUGAAGAUAUCUUUUAGAAAUAAUUCUUAUAUAUAAGAAAAUAAUAGUUUAUAUAUUUUGUCUUCUUGUACUAAGUCGGUUUGAUGACCGACUCUAUCUUACUAUAAAUAAGAGCAUAUCUUUAUUUAUAUGAGAUGAAAGUAAGAAGAAGAAAAAGUUGAUUAACUUUCUCCCUCACU
rnacentral:lncRNA from 1 species